AAAGAUUAAGCCAUGCAUGUGUAAGUACACACCUUCCUUAUGGCGAAACCGCAAACGGCUCAUUAAAUCAGUCAUAAUUUAUUGGAUGGUGUUUAUCCUAUACUCGGAUAACCGUGGCAAUUCUAGAGCUAAUACGUGCAACUGAGCUCCGACCACGGCGUGCCCGUUAAAGGCGCGUCGGGGGAAGGGCGCAUUUAUUGGAAUCAUAAACCGAGCGGUCUCUCGAGUCCGUCCCAAAAAUCGGUUAUGAUGACUCUGGAUAACUUUGCCGAGCGAUUAGGCCUUCGAGCCGUCGCUGCAUCUUUCGAGUGACUGCCUUAUCAGCUUUCGAUUGUAGGCUAUACGCUUACGAUGGCUGUAACGGGUAACGGGGAAUCAGGGUUCGAUUCCGGAGAGGGAGCCUGAGAAACGGCUACCACAUCUAAGGAAGGCAGCAGGCACGCAAAUUACCCACUCCCGGCUCGGGGAGGUAGUGACGAUAAAUAACGAUGCGGGACUCUUCCGAGGCCUCGCAAUCGGAAUGAGUUUACUCUAAAACCUUGGACGAGGAUCCAUUGGAGGGCAAGUCUGGUGCCAGCAGCCGCGGUAAUUCCAGCUCCAAUAGCGUAUAUUAAAGUUGCUGCGGUUAAAAAGCUCGUAGUUGGAUUUUCGGUCUGUACCGGCGGCCCACCCAAGGCGCGCCCCCCGAAGACUUCCACUCGGUUAGGAGGGGGUGUGUGACGUUCGGCCAAGUUCUUAUCGCUCGGUCGCUCUCGGUGCGGCGGCGGGACUCGUUCCCCCCCCCUCAUCCGCGCGCGAGUCGUCGGUAUCCUUCGUUCGCUUCGUUACCCCCUCCGCCGAGGUUGUCUAGUUGGGUCUCCGCGCCCGGUGGUCAAACCGUCCGGCUACGGAUUUGUUAAAAUCCGCCGGCUCUCACGGGGUGCUCUUUACCGAGUGUCUCGCGUGGCCGACGACGUUCACUUUGAAAAAAUUAGAGUGCUCAAAGCAGGCAAAAAUCUUCGCCUGAAUUAUGAUGCAUGGAAUGAUGGAACAGGACCUCGGUUCUGCAUCUUUUCUCUCGGUUUUUCCCGAACCCGAGGUAAUGAUUAACGGGAACGGACGGGGGCAUUAGUAUUGCGACGCUAGAGGUGAAAUUCUUGGACCGUCGCAAGACUAACUACUGCGAAAGCAUUUGCCAAGAACGCUUUCAUUAAUCAAGAACGAAAGUUAGAGGAUCGAAGGCGAUCAGAUACCGCCCUAGUUCUAACCUUAAACGAUGCUGACUAGCGAUCCGCUUAAGUCAUUCCCACGACUGAGCGGGCAGCCCCCGGGAAACCGAAGUUUUUGAGUUCCGGGGGAAGUAUGGUUGCAAAGCUGAAACUUAAAGGAAUUGACGGAAGGGCACCACCAGGAGUGGAGCCUGCGGCUUAAUUUGACUCAACACGGGAAACCUCACCAGGCCCAGACACCGGAAGGAUUGACAGAUUGAGAGCUCUUUCUCGAUUCGGUGGUUGGUGGUGCAUGGCCGUUCUUAGUUGGUGGAGCGAUCUGUCUGGAUGAUUCCGAUAACGAC
rnacentral:rRNA from 1 species